GUGGGGAAUAUUGGACAAUGGGGGGAACCCUGAUCCAGCCAUGCCGCGUGUGUGAAGAAGGCCUUUUGGUUGUAAAGCACUUUAAGCGAGGAGGAGGCUACCGAGAUUAAUACUCUUGGAUAGUGGACGUUACUCGCAGAAUAAGCACCGGCUAACUCUGUGCCAGCAGCCGCGGUAAUACAGAGGGUGCAAGCGUUAAUCGGAUUUACUGGGCGUCAAGCGCGCGUAGGUGGCCAAUUAAGUCAAAUGUGAAAUCCCCGAGCUUAACUUGGGAAUUGCAUUCGAUACUGGUUGGCUAGAGUAUGGGAGAGGAUGGUAGAAUUCCAGGUGUAGCGGUGAAAUGCGUAGAGAUCUGGAGGAAUACCGAUGGCGAAGGCAGCCAUCUGGCCUAAUACUGACACUGAGGUGCGAAAGCAUGGGGAGCAAACAGGAUUAGAAACCCGUGUAGUCC
rnacentral:rRNA from 1 species